rnacentral:lncRNA from 1 species
UGACUUGCCUGGAUGCAGUUUGUCAGUGAGUGCUGUCGGGGGCAGGACAGAGGCUCUCACCAGGUCGUUUCACACCAGAAGAUACUGGGGUGCAGGACACUAGUGCUUCUGGACCCAACUCUCAGCAGGUAAAAAAGGGAAUUUUUACAAUACAUAUUUUACAGAGUUGAAUACUCUGUCUAAGCACAGGAGACAACUUGAUGCUGGUUAUCUUGACACGAAGGCUUAGAAAACUGCAGCCCUGAAUUUCCUUCCAGUUUUCAGUAGAUCAGAGCUACUGAAAUCAGUCAGAUUCUCACCUCAUUUCUAUGCAAUUCACACUCAUAAAUACUGACUUAAGCAUCAUUUCAGUGGGGCAGCACCUCGUGCAGGAGCGUGAUUCAGGUUAUUGAAGUUACACAACUGUACUGAUAAGGGUGGGGGAGAGAACAGCCCAUUUUCCAAAGAAAACCCCAAACUAUAGAAAUCAGUAAAUCCUCAGGGAAAAGAAAAAAAAACAACAAAAAAAACCCCAGCUGGUUUGAGACCGAAUUUCUCUAAGAUACUAGCUUGCUCUUGUCACUAAUGUUUUAACCAUGUGAUUUUAAAAUCAUAAACAUUUAGACUAAGACCACAAAAUUUUGAGUAGGUAUAUAGCAAACAGUGUAAUGUUGAU